AACUCGGAAACGGACCAAGAUGGCGGCGCCCAGUGAGGGGCUAACGUUUGCUGUGGGGGUCGAAAAGAAUUGUAGUGCGGUUGUUCGCUCCCCAGAAGGGACUCCCCAGAAAGUCCGGCAGCUGAUAGAUGAGGGGAUUGCCCCGGAAGAGGGAGGCGCCGAAGCGAAGGACACAUCUGCCACAUUCCAGUCAGUUAAUGGAUCACCCCAAGCAGAAGAACCUCCAUUGGAAUCUACAAGCAAAGAAGCCUUCUUUAGCAGAGUGGAAACCUUUUCUUCUUUGAAAUGGGCAGGUAAGCCCCCUGAGCUGUCUCCACUGGUCUGUGCAAAAUAUGGCUGGGUCACAGUUGAAUGUGAUAUGCUGAAGUGCUCCAGCUGUCAAGCUUUUCUCUGUGCCACUUUACAACCAGCUUUUGAUUUUGACAGAUAUAAGGAACGAUGUGCUGAGCUGAAGAAAGCCUUGUGUACUGCCCAUGAGAAGUUCUGUUUCUGGCCAGACAGCCCCUCUCCAGAUCGAUUUGGGAUGUUGCCAUUGGAUGAACCUGCGGUUCUUGUUAGUGAAUUUGUAGAUCGUUUUCAAAGCCUUUGUCACUUGGACUUCCAGCUUCCUUCCCUGAGGCCAGAGGACUUAAAAACUAUGUGCUUGACAGAAGACAAGAUCAGUCUUCUCCUGAACCUGCUUGAAGAUGAACUUGAUCACCGAACUGAUGAGAGAAAAACUGCAACCAAACUAGGUUCAGACAUCAUCCAAAUCCACGUCACUUCCUGUAUUCUCUCCCUGUGUGGCUGGGCGUGUAGUUCUUCGUUGGAACCCAUGCAGCUCUCCCUGAUAACAUGUUCACAGUGUAUGAGGAAGGUGGGGCUCUGGGGCUUCCAGCAGAUCGAGUCAUCCAUGACCGACCUGGAUGCCUCCUUUGGUCUGACCAGCUCCCCCAUCCCAGGCUCUGAGUGCCGGCCAGAGCGCUUCUCUCUGGUGCCUGAGUCUCCUCGGAGGAUGAUGACUCGGAGCCAGGAUGCCUCGUUUUCCCCAGGCUCAGAGCAGGGUACUUCCAUCAUCUCCCCUUUCCUUCAGGCUGAAAGGAGCCCAGGUCCCAUUGUCUCUAGAACUCGAAGCUGGGACUCUUCCAGUCCUGUCGACCGUCCUGAGCCAGAGGCCGCUAGCCCCACCACCAGAACCCGCCCAGUGACCCGAAGCAUGGGAACAGGAGACACCACUGGCCUGGAAGUGCCAUCUAGUCCUCUUCGGAGAGCCAAACGGGCUCGCCUCUGCUCUUCCAGCAGCUCGGACACAUCUUCCCGAAGCUUCUUUGAUCCCACUUCUCAGCAUCGAGACUGGUGUCCUUGGGUGAAUAUCACAUUUGGGAAAGAAACCAGGGAGAAUGGUGGAACUGAGGUAGAUGCCAGCACCCCGGCAGAGCCAGGCUGGAAGGCAGUGCUGAACAUCCUCUUGGCCCACAAAGAGUCUAACCAGCCAGCUGAAGCCGACUCCAUGAGUCUCUCUGAGAAAUCAAGGAAGGUAUUCCGAAUAUUCCGGCAGUGGGAAUCUUUAUGCUCAUCCUGAAGAUAUUCCAGCCCUUCCUGCAGAGAAGUGGAAUGAGUGGCUUUGAAAAAUGAAGCCUGAAUUCCCUUUUGAGCAGCUGAUGCUAAGUUUUUCUCCGUUCUGGUUUAAUCAUAAGGAGCCCCUCCCCUUGCAAAGGAGACGUGGGUUCGAGCCCUGGUCCAGGAAGAUCCCACAUGCUGUGGAGCAACUAAGCACAUGUGCCAAAACUACUGAGCCUGCACUCUAGAGCCCGCGAGCCACAACUACUGAACCCAUGCGCCACAACUACUGAAGCCUCCGUGCCUAGAGCCUGUGCUCCGCAAGGAGAGAAGCCACCAAAAUGAGGAGCCCUCGCACCGCAAUGAAGAGCAGCCCCCGCUCGCUGCAACUAGAGAAAGCCCGUGUGCAGCAACGAAGACCCAAUGCAGACCAAAAAAAAAAAAAAAAAAAAAGAUCACCCUCAACAAUGCAAGUGGGCAUCAUCCAAUCCACUGAGAGCCUGAAUAGAACAAAAAGGCUGAGGAAGGGCAAAUUUGCUCUCUUCUUGAGCUGGGACCUCCAUCUUCUCCUGCCCUGGGACAUCGGAGCUACUGGUUUUUGGGCCUUUGGAGUUGGACUGGGACUGAACCAUUGGUUUCCUGGGCCUCCAAGCUUGCAUAUGGUGGAUAAUGGGACUUCUCAGCCUCUGUAAUCACUUGAGC